rnacentral:lncRNA from 1 species
GGGAGGGCGGGUGCAUUAGAGACCCACGCCUCUUUCCAUCACCGUCCGCAGCUGACUGACACUCUCUGUCCUAAGUCUCUGUUAAAUGUAGGCCAGCUGCGCUGGCGGCAAAUCCCCGCCGAAAGCCUCUGCGCCGCCCUGGAUAGCCGGGAGGCUGCAUGUGCAGCAAUGUGCAGCACCUCUCAUCCCACCCAGACGCCAAGACCCCACCCACCCCAGCCUCUGUCAGGGUCGGCGUUGACUGUUGACUCCCAGAUCAGCGCAGUCUGCCUCAGGCCGAGACGUCGUCCAGUCCCUGCCGAUUCCGCGCCCUCCCUUCAGUCAGAGACAUGCGGAGCCUGCUGGAGAGCAGCUGGAUGAGGUUCGGGCCGGCCGGGCGGGGCACCUACGACUGGGUGACCAGGUCUCCCACCCCACCUUCCAUGGAGAAGAAACUGCAGGAUCAGCAGUGGAACCAGCUCUCCACCGGCGAGGAGCUCAAGCCCGAGGCUGUCCUCCACAUCGCGCUCCCCGCCGCCACGGUCUUCGUCCUCUGCCUGCUCACCGUCCUCCUCUACCGGAGGUGCUUCCGCACCAAGCUGGAGAUCUCCAGCAUCGCCCUGGACCUGCAGGACGCCGAGAGCAGCGCCGAGAUCCUCUCCUCCCGCCUGGCCAGCACCAGCUCCGACCCGUCCGACGGGGUCUUCCUCAUGGUCUACCUGCCGCCGCCCUACCAGGAGACCCUCACCAAGAUCACCCGGGCCGCCAGCGUGUGCAGCGCCAGGGACGCCGAGUCGGUGAAGAUCGAGGACCUCGAGGCCCGGCUGUGUCCAGACAUCAAGCCGAGCGGCCGCUUGGUGUGAAGGCGCCUCCAUCGGACGCUGUUCUCCUUCCCAGGCAGGGGAAUUAAACAGGUCUGAUGCAUAUUUUAAUGCAUAUUUUGCAUAUUUUUCGGCCAAACCAACCAAAUAUGCACGAAUAUUGCUAUACUAGCAAAAUCGGAAGAUUUUAUGAUAUAUUUGUUGAUUUUUUUCUUUUUUAGAAUGGUAGCAAUAUGCAAAUUUGUAUUUAACUUUGUAUUUGUGCUUAAAUUUGUAUUUGUGAUAAACACCCCACCCGACACACACACACACACACAUACCAAGGUACCUUGUAAUUACCGUUUUUUAAUAAAAACCUUUUUAAUAAAGACCUUC